GAGGACCCAGCAGAAACCUGGACCUAACCACAGAGAUGGGAGGACCCAGCAGAAACCUAGCUGACCUCUGCUCAGAGCACAGAGCAUGGAAGAGAAGGAAAGGAAUUAAAGGUUGAAAAACAGCCUACACCACAGGGCGCAGGGCGGAAGAACCAUCAACAACAGACCGGAUCACAGUGACCCCAGAGGAAAACCAUAUGCACUAAGCUAUACCCCAUGACCUAGGCCCUGCACUUUAAGGGUUUCUCCGUGUGGCGCUGGCUGUCCUGGAACUUGCUCU